rnacentral:rRNA from 1 species
UGGGGAAUCUUAGACAAUGGGGGAAACCCUGAUCUAGCCAUGCCGCGUGAGUGACGAAGGCCUUAGGGUCGUAAAGCUCUUUCGCCAGGGAUGAUAAUGACAGUACCUGGUAAAGAAACCCCGGCUAACUUCGAGCCAGCAGCCGCGGUAAUACGAAGGGGGCUAGCGUUGUUCGGAAUCACUGGGCGUAAAGCGCACGUAGGCGGACUGGUCAGUUGGGGGUGAAAUCCCAGGGCUCAACCCUGGAACUGCCUCCAAUACUGCCAGUCUUGAGUCCGAGAGAGGUGAGUGGAAUUCCUAGUGUAGAGGUGAAAUUCGUAGAUAUUAGGAAGAACACCAGUGGCGAAGGCGGCUCACUGGCUCGGUACUGACGCUGAGGUGCGAAAGCGUGGGGAGCAAACAGGAUUAGAUACCCCGGUAGUCC